rnacentral:SRP_RNA from 3 species
CCGUGCUAGGCGGGGCAUUAGCGGCGCCCUGAAUCUGCAAUCCGCUCUAGCAGGGCUGAAUUCCCUUCCGAGGGGCGCAGGCUUUCGAGGCAGCGCGUCGUACGGAGGCGUUGAUGGUCAGGUCCCGCGCGAUGACGGCCCGCGAACCAGGUCAGGUCCGGAAGGAAGCAGCCUUAAACGGUCACCGUCAUGCGUUGCGGGAGUGCCUGUCCGGAGUCCACCGGCGGUAGCGAACUCGAGAACCCGCUUCGAUGGAGGGUGCACGG